rnacentral:rRNA from 1 species
AUUGAACGCUGGCGGCAGGCCUAACACAUGCAAGUCGAACGAGUGGCGGACGGGUGAGUAAUGUCUGGGAAACUGCCUGAUGGAGGGGGAUAACUACUGGAAACGGUAGCUACUACCGCAUACCAUCAGAUGUGCCCAGAUGGGAUUAGCUAGUUGGUGGGGUAACGGAUCACCAAGGCGACGAUCCCUAGCUGGUCUGAGAGGAGGACCAGCCAGACUGGAACUGGGACACGGUCCAGAUUCCUACGUGAGGCAGCAGUGGGGAAUAUUGCACAAGGGGCGCAAGCCUGAUGCAGCCAUGCCGCGUGUAUGACGAAGGCCUUCGGGUUGUAAAGUACUUUCAGCGGGGAGGCGUUACCCGCAGAAGAAGCACCGGCUAACUCCGUGCCAGCAGCCGCGGUAAUAC